rnacentral:rRNA from 1 species
UACGUAGGGUGCGAGCGUUAAUCGGAAUUACUGGGCGUAAAGCGUGCGCAGGCGGUUAUAUAAGACAGUUGUGAAAUCCCUGGGCUCAACCUAGGAAUUGCAUCUGUGACUGUAUAGCUAGAGUACGGUAGAGGGGGAUGGAAUUCCGCGUGUAGCAGUGAAAUGCGUAGAUAUGCGGAGGAACACCGAUGGCGAAGGCAAUCCCCUGGACCUGUACUGACGCUCAUGCACGAAAGCGUGGGGAGCAAACAGG